rnacentral:lncRNA from 1 species
GGUUUGGGAAGAGACAAAGGCACAUGCUUAGAGGGUCUGGAGAAGGCGAGGAAGAAGGAAGGGAGCCAAGUAAAACAUGUGACUGACCAGGGGCUUUGGAGAAGACAAGCCCUGCAGGAAGGCACGCAUGUGGUCAUUCUGUCUGUAGCCUCCCAUUCCUCCCUGCUUUCCCCAGCUGCAUCUACCUGGAUCCUGAAUUUGAACCAAGUGGUCCAAACGGCCCGGUCACCUGAGCAACCCCUCUGCAGGAACCGCAGGCACAAUAAUGGAUAUGAAGGUGUGACAAAAUUGUUGGCAUCAGAUGAGGUAAAAGAUUUGUACAAAAACAAAAAAGCACAAAAACUGGAAGCAGUCUGGAGUCUGUCAACAGGAGAAUGGAUGAAUAAGGGAACUAUCUGAUUGUGGCCUAUUUGAUGGAAUAUUACUCUGCAAUCAAAAGGAACAGACUGAGACUGAUACACGCAGCAUGGAUGAGUCUUCAGGACAUUGUGUCAAGGCUGGCUACAUACUCUGUUGGGAAGAAGGCUCAAAAAUGAAUCCUCUCAAGCAGACCCGCUUUGGUUUCCACCCCUCUAUUCUGAGAACCCAAGCUCAACCCAUGUGUUCUGCCUUCAGGUAGAAAAUGUCAGAAUCAUAGGGAAGACUAAGCUGAAAAAAGAAUUUGGAGUUCCAAAGGAAUUCUGUGCCACCUGCCGUCCGGCAAUUCCCUUUGCCAGGUAAUGGCAUGACAGUAAAGACGCACUCUGUUCUGAAUAAGCAGAGAACCGGCUUGGCCUAGGACUUACGUUGAGGUGGGUAAUGUUCGAAAAGACCCAUUUGCUAGGGCAUCUCAGGGAAGGCACAGAAGCCUUUGCAGGCGAGGCUGCAGAGAGAAGAAAACGCACGGGAGACAGUCCUGAUUCCAAGGGGUUACAAUUGGUUGGGGAGGCAAGGCAGCCACAAAGAAAGCACAGCAUGUUUGGGCCAGGUGGGUGCUUCCUUAGGACAGCACUGCCUGUUUGGGAAACAGUUGUAGAAACAGAUGGGACAAUCCUUGUCCAUCGAGAUGGGGUCAGAGUGACUGCACGAAAAUAUGGCUACCCCGAGUUACCAUGGCUACCAACA